GACGAACGCUGGCGGCGUGCCUAAUACAUGCAAGUCGAGCGGAACUGGGGGAGCUUGCUCCUUCCAGUUUAGCGGCGGACGGGUGAGUAACACGUGGGCAACCUGCCCUGCAGAUCGGGAUAACUCCGGGAAACCGGUGCUAAUACCGAAUAGUUUGGCGCCUCUCCUGAGGCGCUACGGAAAGACGGUUUCGGCUGUCACUGCAGGAUGGGCCCGCGGCGCAUUAGCGAGUUGGUGGGGUAACGGCCCACCAAGGCGACGAUGCGUAGCCGACCUGAGGGGGUGACCGGCCACACUGGGACUGAGACACGGCCCAGACUCCUACGGGAGGCAGCAGUAGGGAAUCUUCCGCAAUGGACGCAAGUCUGACGGAGCAACGCCGCGUGAGUGACGAAGGUUUUCGGAUCGUAAAACUCUGUUGUGAGGGAAGAACACGUACCAACUAACUAUUGGUACCUUGACGGUACCUCGCCAGAAAGCCACGGCUAACUACGUGCCAGCCGCCGCCGUAA
rnacentral:rRNA from 1 species